CGUCUUCGGCGUUCGAAU
rnacentral:snRNA from 1 species